GAUCGUUAGUGUUAAGAGUAUAAAGAUAGAGGAAAAAGCGAUCCAGAAAAAGCGACCAUACACGAUGUUUUUGUUGUAGUGUUAAUAUGAGUUGAUGACUAGUUCAAGUAAUCCAGGGCAUUACAGACAAUUUACAGACAAAGCUACAAUUUUACAUUUGUUUUAACAAGACAGCUUCCAGCUUUUCAUAGCUAAAAGUUCACAACUUUUUCUCACAGCUCACAACAGCUUUUUCAAAAUCUGUAGCUCAACCAAACACAACGAAUGUUUGGUUUUUAUCAUUGCUUUUUAUCUCGACUAUGACAACGACAACAACGUCUUGCAAAAAUGACUGCCAUCCUUCUCCUUUAACAUGAGGGCCUUGCCUCUAGGUAGUGUCGAUCAGGAUGUGGGGUUUGUGUCAUGUCGAUCCUGGGUCCUAGUUUUCACGACGGUGGCAAUGGUUCGUCUCAGCCAUAGUCAGGGUGAUGCCCUUGCCAAUGCGAGAAGAUUGUUUUAGGGUCGCGAUAACAUCUACACGUGUAGUAGGAGCAAAAACAGCUCAAAAGUCCAAUGAUCACAGAUUGCAUCACGUCAUCGCAUGCAUACACAAGUGAUGAAACUGAUGAUGUCACGUGGAAUUUUUUGUCUUUUCAGUUUUUAAAAUGGUUUAUCUUUUAAAUAAAAAAUCCUAUUGAAAAACCGUUUUACCAUUAAAUCCAUCGUGAUGAGAUCUUCGAAACUAGAUCUCAUAUCGAUAUGUUUCGAUGAAUUUUUUUUGAAUUAAAAGUUAUCAUGUCCAUUGCACAUAAAUUGUCAUCAUGAUUAUACUGAAGUUGCCAUGAUAUAUUUUAAGUACUUUUUUUCUAUGUUUAAAGUAAACUUUGACAUGUUAUAAAAAAGGAAAUUAACAAACUAAACUUGCCAUGAUGAAUUACUAAGAUUCUCCAUGAUCCAUGAAAUGAUUUUGAUAUGGUUCACAAGUAAAAAAAGAAAUAUGUAGUUAAUUACUUCAAAAAUGCAUGGUCACUAGCCCAAAAUUGCCAUGAACCAUAAACUAAAAUUGCCAUGGUGAAUUACUUAAAUUUGCCAUGAUACAUGCAUUAAAAUUUGUCACGGUUCAUACAAAAAAUAUUUUCCAUGUUCAAUAUACUUAAAUUACCAUGGUCAAAAUAAUAAAAUUGCCAUGAUCUAUAAACUCAAUUUUCCAUGACGAAUUAUCAAAAACAGCCAUGAUCCAUAAAUUAAAUUUUCCAUCGUUAAUUACCAAAAAAUGCCAUGACCAAUUAAUAAAAAUUUCCAUGAAAAGCAGUUGAAAUAUAAUGGUAGAUUUAAAUCUAGAAGAAAAAACUUAAUGAAACAUGGCGUGGCAAUCUUAUUGUAAACACUAUGGCAACUUCAGUAUAAACAUGUGGCAACUUGUGACCUAAAAAAAUGUCGAAACAUAUCAAUAUCAGAUCUAGUUUGAAGACCUCUUCGAGACCGAUUUAAUAGUGAAAACGGAGUUUUAUUUAGAUUUUUUAUUUAAGAGACAAAACAUUUUUAAGUCCAAAAAAUCAAAAAGAUUCUCCUGAUGUCAUAUAUUUGAUAUGGUAAUAUGAAUGGUUAUGGAGACGUGUGAACCAUGUUGGCUUGUGCCACAUAUACGGACGUUAGUAUUUUUGUUGUUUUAAUGUUCCCCCUCGUAUGAUAUGACAGACUCCUUAAGCAUUGGAUUUCAAUAGACCACAAAAGAACGUUACAAAAACCAAUUCUACUAGUCUGGAAGCUUCGAUAAAUAAUGCUAAAUAAUCAUAUAUGGAAAACCACAAUAAAUAUAGUUUAAUCAUACGUUUUAAA
rnacentral:lncRNA from 1 species